UCUGACCAUCCAAGGGAAAGCACACUCUUCCUGAGAAAAUAUCAAAUGAGUGUGCAAGAAGAGAGGAGGAGCUCUCACCUAUAUUAUAUACCUCCAUGGGUUCUUGAUAGAAAAUACAGCUCAUGUUCGACCAUAUUGCUAGAUAACAGCACAGUCAGCCAGCCUGAUCUUAGACACACAUUAGAAAAUGUGACUUUGGCAAUAUAUUACAACAUAAAGCACAGGUGAGCUCUUUGAAAACCUGCCUUGUUACUCCAGCUCAUCACUUUGUAUAAUAUGACACAUGCUGUUAGGUCAUAACUAUAGACAUAAGCUGUAGAGUGCUUAUUUUACAGUAUUAAAGUGAAUCAUUUGUGGGUUUUUGUAAGACUCUUUUACCUCUUAAAUUAUUGAGGGUCUCAAAGUGUAUUUUUUAAUGUCUUGUUUGCAAUUUAUUGUAAAGAAGAAAGAAAAAGGUGAACUAGCCUCAUGUAAAUAUAUAGUAGAAAAAAUGUGUAUUUUUAAAGCUUUCAGGUAAUUGUGGGUAUUCUUCAGCCACACCAAAACUUCACAAGUGCUGAUUUAUUAAAAUAGUUAUAAUGGGAUUGUACAUAUCAAUGAAUUCGUUCCACUAAUACUCACUGAUCUUUCUUGUACAAUAAAUGGCUCUUUCCCCUUACCAGCUUUUAUAAUAUGCAUUGGCUAUUUGGAAAAUAUUAAUUCAUGUUCAUCUCUAAUGUCAAAAACUCACUUUCAUUAGUAUCACCAUGAUUAUAAAAAUGUCUUCAAAUAUUGAGAUGCUGUCAAGCUCACAGUAGUAGGUAUGAGUUUUCCAAGUCCUGAUUUUAGCUUGAAAGCAUUAGCUUUAUUAUACACAACAAAUACUUGUUAUUUUCCUUGAAAUGACAGACUCACUUGACUUCUUUUGGAGAAUGACAGUCAGUCAUACUUUCAGACAGAAAUGGUGUUCUGUGAAAAAUUGGCUUGUUCAGCUCACAAUUAAACCACAAGUGCUUUUCUUUAACAUGACCAUACUUCAGUAUGCAGAAGUGCUUUAUGUGAACUUCCUACUUAGAAUACUAA